GUACGACUAGUUGCCAGACUAGAACGCUUAUAAUUCUACUUGUGCGGCGCGACCGCUCAUUGACCUGCUGCGACACCAGAGAACUGUCACAAACAUAGAUGGUUGGUGGUCGCACUUACUAGUAAAUGUAGAGGCCAGGAGUGGAGACCAAUGAAUAAUAGGUCAGCUGAGUGGCUUUUCCAUGCAGCACUUUCUGAAAAUGCAGUCAUGUUAUUAAAGAAGAACUAAAGACAUAAUCUUUGGAGCUGGCUCUCCAGUAACAGGGACCUCCAGUCGCAGUUUUGUUCCUGCUACAACUGUUACAGUGUUAUCAGGAUAAGAAAGUGCAUCAAAGUGGAUUUUGGGAGGAUCUGCAAAUUGAAGCAUACAACUGUGGAAGAAGCUACAGUAGACUUACAAUCAACCUGAAGCUGAGCCGCUGACUGCCCUCCGGUUGUCAUCACAGAAAACCUCGUCUUGCCUUAUGGCAGGGAUCCUAUAUAUGCUCUUCGCAUCAGAGACAGUGUUUCACAAGACAAACCAGGAUCAAUCAGAUGAUUCCAGGGAGGAAGUAUGAAAACUAAAUGCCCUUUACCUGGGAUGAAUGAACAUGUUCUGUUCUGGUGAGAAAUUCUACUUGUUUCAAGAUUUUUCACACUGCAAGAACUUGUAAGAGUUCUUACUAUCCUUGGGGAGAAAAUUGUAUGGAAGUUUUGCAUCACUCAUUUUGCAUCACUCAUACAGCUCCAUGCUUAAAUAACUCAACAGAGAGAUGUUAGACUUGAUCAAAAAGCAGGAAGCUCUAAUAUAUGCUAUACAAUAGGAAACCAUGUACUAGGUAACUACUUUUAAAAAGUUUAAAAGAAUAACAUUCUUAGUUAUUCAAGGAAACACACAAAGAAUGUCUUCCAGAUGAAAAGUUUUAAUACUCAUAUUAUUAAUGAGCAUUUUAACCAAUGGAUAACUUUUCAGUGGUCUCUGAUUUUAUCCAUCAUGGGGUAAUAAUGACCUGCAGGGCACAGCAGCCAAUAACACUCAUGCAUACAAUCAAAAUCAUGCAACAAAUUCCAGAAAAUGAUAUUCAUGCAGGUACUAGGAGCCCAAUUCCAGUAAAAUCACAUUAAUAUCAAAGUACCUUGUCAGAGAUGUAUCAGUACGUACAAUGCAAAAAUGUUUCUUUCAAGGGGAGUUGUUAUAUGGCAAAUUAUAGUUUUUAUUGACUAGGAACAAAUAAUACAUGAAUGGAGUGAUAAUAAGAAUGUGGAGUUGAUUUAGUUGAAUUAACGUCCACUGAUUAUUUUAUUGCUUUGAUUUCUCACCUACGUUUCAGGAGACCACUAAAGUCAAGUUCUCCUGCAUCAUCUUGUCCUUCACCACUGUCAUCAAUAUGAAAAGAAGAUUAAGUCUUGGUUCAUUACAGAAAGCAUCCACUUUGUAAGCACAGAGCAAAUAUACAUGCAGAAUGUCAAAUCACAACAUUUCUUUUUGUCAAGAAAUAAAAUGUUUAAGCUGA